AUUGAACGCUGGCGGCAGGCCUAACACAUGCAAGUCGAGCGAGCGGCGGACGGGUGAGUAAUGUAUGGGGACUGCCCGAUAGAGGGGGAUAACUACUGGAAACGGUGGCUAAUACCGCAUACUAUCGGAUAACCCAUAUGGGAUUAGCUAGUAGGUGGGGUAAAGGCUAACCUAGGCGACGCUCGCUAGCUGGUCCGAGAGGAUGAUCAGCCACACUGGGACUUAGAAACGGCCACGACUCCUACGGAGGCAGUAGUGGGGAAUAUGUGACAAUGGGAGCAAGCCUGAUGCAGCCAUGCCGGGUGUAUGACGAAGGCCUUAGGGUUGUAAAGUACUUUCAGCGUGGGGGCGUUACCCGCAGAAGAAGCACCGGCUAACUCCGUGCCAGCAGCCGCGGUAAUAC
rnacentral:rRNA from 1 species